rnacentral:rRNA from 1 species
AGUGAACGCUGGCGGCAGGCCUAACACAUGCAAGUCGAACGGCAGCACAGUAAGAGCUUGCUCUUACGGGUGGCGAGUGGCGGACGGGUGAGGAAUACAUCGGAAUCUACUUUUUCGGGGGGGAUAACGUAGGGAAACUUACGCUAAUACCGCAUACGACCUACGGGUGAAAGCAGGGGAUCUUCGGACCUUGCGCGACUGAAUGAGCCGAUGUCGGAUUAGCUAGUUGGCGGGGUAAAGGCCCACCAAGGCGACGAUCCGUAGCUGGUCUGAGAGGAUGAUCAGCCACACUGGAACUGAGACACGGUCCAGACUCCUACGGGAGGCAGCAGUGGGGAAUAUUGGACAAUGGGCGCAAGCCUGAUCCAGCCAUACCGCGUGGGUGAAGAAGGCCUUCGGGUUGUAAAGCCCUUUUGUUGGGAAAGAACAGCAGCGGGUUAAUACCCCGCUGUUCUGACGGUACCCAAAGAAUAAGCACCGGCUAACUUCGUG